CACUGUUUGUGCCUGCCACUUUAAGGGCCUGGAGCUGGCAGCCUCCAGGGGCCUGAUGAGGGCAGCCAUUUUGGAGUCAAGGGCUGUCUAUAUAAACAGGGCAGUUUGGCUGCUGGAGGCCAGGUAACAGCAUUGCCUGGCCGGAGGGCUGCUGAGAUCAUCUAGAGGGAUGUGGAAAGGGCCCAAGCGAUUUUCAAAGAAGCUAUUGUGAUUCUGUUGCUCAAGAAGCCCCCUUAUCUACUGAUGAUUCCCUGAGAUUGGUCAGCAACUUCUGAUAACAGCAGUUCUUUGACUUGCUUGCAGAUCCUAGUAGAAGUAGAUAAAGCAUCUCAAGUGACCCUGUUAUCUGGCUGUACUCUCAAAAGGGAGUCACUGUGGGGAAGUGUCCCUCUUGUCCAAGAGUGCUCUUCUACAGUGUAACACAGGAGUCAGUAUUGUCACCUCUCCCAUUCCACGUGUACAGGGGUCACUACCAGCAGAGAGAUCAGUGGAAGUGCUCCAGUAGAAGUUCUCAAGACUGAAGGAGCUGUUGGUCAGGAUCAGUCAUUGGCUUUACAACAUUGGGUUACACAUUCAUCACACCCAAGAUUAAUUAUUUCAGGCCUGCUGCUUGUACUGUCAUUCCCCUCCACCCUUGUUUUCUGGAUAGAUUUUAUUUGCUUAGUUCCUAUUCACUGGUGGCUUCAAAAUGAGAUAAACAGCCCUUUAUAUCAUAUUAUUUGUUCUAUUAAACUAAACAUCGGAGAUAUCCAGGGGUCAAACAAAACUGCGCCAAAAAAGGCAGAACAGUACACACAGGGGCAGUGCACACUGCCCAAAACCGGAGUCUCACCAUCCAGAGCCACACUCGAGCUGCCAGCCAUGUUGAGCGGCAGGAUUGCCACUACUGCAGCCCCAGGAGGCCCCCAGGUAAGAUGGCUGGGGCCAGCACAGUUUCCCCAAUUUCCCCUACCCCACCUGAAGUAACUUGCCACUCACCAAAGACGUACUGCAUAGGCGUUCCCAGAGGACAACUAGCAGUGGCACAAGGUGUCUCACUGUUACUUGUCCUCAGGGAACCAAAUGUCUGCAUGGAUGCAACCCAGGAGAACAAUUAAGAUAACUCUGGUCUCCACAGGCAUUCUUGAAAUUAUCAGGAGAUUGUAUAUAAGUUUCUGAACCCUUCUUCGAUAGCUGGAACCCUCUUGUUGCAUCCAAUUUCCAACUGCUCCAACAGAAGAGUCCAAAUUUCCCUUUUAUUCAUCAUAAUCUCAUGUUACAAAAAUCAAGAAAUUGCCCAAUAUUAUUCUGCUACGUCAUCUUAGAAAACAUACAGCUAAAAGAAUGUACAUCUAUAGCUGCAGAAAAUCUAAAAUGUAGGGCAAGAUUCUUACCUACUGACCCUACCCCCUUACACAGACAGACCUGGGAAUGGGAAGAGGUGUUACAAUUUUAGUGCUGCUGAGAUUCCAGAAAGACCAAGGAAGCUGCUGUAAUAUAGGCUCUUCCUACACUUGAAAGGGUUAGCCAUUAUAACUGUACCAGCAAACCUCCCCUAAUGGAGACUGCUUAUGCCAGCAAAAGGAUUCCUUUUGCUAGUAUAACUGCUAUGCCAGCAAAAGUGCUGGACAGUCACAAUGUUACCCAAAAGGAGAAAAAAAACCACCCUAUCAUAUCCACUUACUCACCACUGCUAAGAUUGGCAGAGGGGGGAAGAGUACUUGAGCAUUAGAUCAAGUUUUAGGCAAGUCUCUGGGGCUAUCUAGGUCAUGCCAGGGACAUCUCUGACAGCAGACAGGAUUGCAGUAGUUUUAAAACUACCUUCCUCACACCCCAUUCCCAGGCUGAAAAGUCUGUGUCAUUCUUCGUUUUCCACUGAUUUGUCAGUCUCCAGUAGAGACGGAUAGGCAGCAAUACAAGCUACAGUGUACAAGUCAGAACAUGAACAUGUGCAAUUCCAGGCAUGCUGGUUCCUUUCAAACUUAAGUUGUCUCAUUUCCCAGUAACCUGCGGAAGUAAGGUUGAUAGCUGGCAUUUUGCUGUUUGCUGAAAUGCACGGCCAUUUCCAGAAGCAGUUGUUUACUUUUUUAUAUUCCUUCUUUAAUUCACUCUCCCCUUCAGCAUUAUUUUUAUAGAUAUUGCAGUAAUUUAAAUCAUUAACAUUCAAACAUACACCCAACAGGUAUUCUGGUUGUGACCUACAUCUGCCAGCAACCAAGUGAAAGAUUUUCCAUCAGAUGCAAAAUUUCUUCUAACAAACCACCGUGCAGAUUCAAGUUUGACACUGACCUGUAUGGUCACACAAAUUGAAGUUUACUUCUGCUGUCACAGGCAAAAUACUACUAGAGACCUACAUAUAUAAAAGACUUUAAAAUCGACCAACCAUCAAGGGAAAAUGCUUUGACGCUAUACAAUUAAAUAGCAUAAAAAGCAAGACAGAACUGCCAACAAAUUGUGCAGUCCAGGAAAGAUCAAGAAGUCAUAGGUCACACAGCUUAACCAGCAAAGGAUCCUGCCCACCGAAGGCUGCAAGACUGGACCAGCUUCCCUGCCUGCAUUGGAAUGGAUCUGCACUGACAACUCAGAGACCAAAGAUGCCUUGGUGACUCCUGUGUUGGCCUGAGAUACGGCAGGAACCAAACAACAACCAGUCCUUCCACACAGCAACCGCCAUGCAGUCUCAUUGUAAUGUGCUUAUUAGUAUAAUAUCUGCUGUUGAAUUCAUGUGCACACACCCACUCGCAUGUGUUCUUAUGUUUAUGCCACAAUACAGAUCCAUAGAGUUCUCCUGUGUGUAUAUUGUUUGCCCCACAUAAAACGUCUUUUCUGACUUUUGAGAAUUUAAAUGGCUUUGGCCAAGUAGCAAGGAUCAUUUUGAACCAAGGAAAAAAGGAGAUGCUUCCCUAGUGGCUAGGGAAGUAAGGCGAUUCUGUACUGGACAUUAGUGGUCAUUGAUGGGUGUGAUACUCCUCAGCCUCUCUC